GACGAACGCUGGCGGCGUGCUUAACACAUGCAAGUCGAACGGAAAGGCCCUGCUUGCAGGGUGCUCGAGUGGCGAACGGGUGAGUAACACGUGGGUGAUCUGCCCCUUACUUUGGGAUAAGCCUGGGAAACUGGGUCUAAUACUGGAUAGGACCAUGCUGUAGGUGGUGUGGUGGAAAGAUUAGUUUCGGUAAGGGAUGAGCUCGCGGCCUAUCAGCUUGUUGGUGGGGUAAUGGCCUACCAAGGCGUCGACGGGUAGCCGGCCUGAGAGGGUGGACGGCCACAUUGGGACUGAGAUACGGCCCAGACUCCUACGGGAGGCAGGAGAGGGGAAUAUUGCACAAUGGGCGCAAGCCUGAUGCAGCGACGCCGCGUGGGGGAUGACGGCCUUCGGGUUGUAAACUCCUUUCAGCCAUGACGAAGCCCUUGUGGUGACGGUAGUGGUAAAAGAAGCACCGGCUAACUACGUG
rnacentral:rRNA from 1 species